GGCUGAAUGGUCUAGUAGUAUGAUUCUCGCUUUGGGUUGUUCCUCUCCUUGCGGAGAGGGAGAACAAAUUUGCGAGGGGUCGGGGGUUCAAUUCCCUCUUCAGCCC